UGAACCCUCAUUGCUUAUGGGAUUCUAAGUCUUAAUCACCACAAAUCAUCAAUUCUACAAACUCCGGAAGGAGAUUCGGCGCGUGGAUCUCGCGUGGAGCCGAGGACUCGGUGGACGCUUCGAGGAGCUGAGGCGUUGACGCAGCAAGGAGUUGCAGCGGGGUCGAUUGGAGGAUUCCUAUCGAUCGAGGACCGGCGAAGAACAUCAACAACAGGAAUUCGGUAAAUUGAGUCUUGUAUUUUGGUUAAAUCACUUGUACUCAAGUUUUCUUAGUGAAUUUUCUUCGCGUGAUCGGUCCCGUGGGUUUUUCACUCCGGAUUGGAGUUUUCCUACGUUAAAAUCUCGGUGUUUUGUUUUUAUUUUCCGCUAUUCUUUUUAUUUGCAUCGAGAAGUUUUGUUUGUGCCGUUUUACACCUAUUCACCCCCCUCUAGGUGUUAUUUAUCUUUUAGAUCCUCGGGAUCCAUAUCUUACAAGUGGUAUCAGAGCGGGUAUAGGUUGUAAAUCAUGGCCGAAGGCGAUAACAUCAAUCGACCCCCUCUUUUCGAUGGCACUAAUUACGCUCAUUGGAAAGUCCGUAUGAGGGCGUUUCUUAUUGCCAUCGACGAGCGGGUAUGGCAAGCCAUUGAAUUUGGUUGGAAACAUCCUACCGAAAUUGUCAAGAAUGUUACCGGUCCGAAACCUAGAAAUAAAUGGACGAAAGAGAAAAACGAACUAUCUUCAUUCAACGGGAAAGGUAUCAAUGCUUUAUUUAAUGCCUUAAAUCAAACUGAAUUUUUUCGUGUCUCGGCGUGUGAAACCGCCAAAGAGAUUUGGUACACUUUACAAGUUACACACGAGGGUACAAGCUUGGUAAAGAUUCAAAAAUUACAAAUGCUUACUAGUAGAUUUGAUUCUAUCCGUAUGAAAGAACAUGAAUCUUUUACCGAGUAUUAUACUCGUUUGCAAGACAUUGUAAACACGUGUGCUAACUUAGGCGAGAAGAUUCCGGAUUCCAAAAUUGUUAGAAAAAUUUUGAGGACCCUUCCCUAACGAUUUCGUCCUAAGGUUGCGGCCAUUGAAACGGUAAAACAUCCGGAUGAACUUAAGGUAGAAGAAUUAGUAGGUGCACUUCAAAUGUAUAAUAUGACUUUUCCUUCUAAUUCGUCUUCUUCCAAAUCUUCUUCUAAAGCUUCAGGGAUGGCUCUAAAAUCAACAAAAAGAGAUGACACUACAACUUCAUCGGACUCGGCGUCGGAGCAAACAUUGGAGGAGUUUGAAAAGCAACUAGCGCUUCUAACGAAGAAGUUCCGUCGGAACUUUAGAAAGAAGUUUCCUCCCAAGGCUACUUCCUCCAAGUCAAGCAAAUCAAAAGGGAGUUCUUCUUCAUCUUCUUAUUCUAAGAAUAAAAAGUCCAAAAGCUCUUCUAAAGAUUUUUCAAAAGAGAAGAAAACUAAUGAAGGUCAAAUCCAAUGCUAUAAGUGUAGAGGAUUUGGUCAUAUUGCAUCGGAUUGCCCUAAUAAAAAAUCUUUGAAAAAGAAAGCAAUGCAAGCUAUCACUUGGGAUGACUCGUCUUCGAGUGAGACAUCUUCAAGUGAUGAGGAUGUUAACGCUAUGGCACUUAUUGCACAUGACUUUUUUAUGUGUUUAGCAUCUACAGAUUCUAUCUCUAUGUCAUCCCUGCAUGAAAAAUCUUAUUCGGAGAACUCAUCGGAUGAAGAAUCGGAUGAAGAUGACAUGGUCGCAGCAUAUCAACAAUUGGUAGUCGAAUCAAAGAAGGUGGCAAAACAUAACAAGAAGUUGCGGCGAAGUCUACAUGACUUAGAACAAGAGAAUUCAAGAUUGGCCUCAUUGUCAAAGGAUCUAGAACAAGAAAGAGAUGGUUUGACUAAGGCCUACAAUUCUUUAUUUGAGAAGUGUACAUUACUUGAAAAGGAAAAGGAGACUCAUGUUGAAAACAUCAAUUUUCUUACCAAGCAAUACUCGGAAGCUAGAGAAGCAAAUAUGGAAUUCACCAAGACGAUUAUUCAACUUAAAUCAGAUUUAAAUCAAUUCUUGUCUGGCUCUAGCAAACUUGAUAAGAUGCUUGGACUUGGUCAAACAAAUAAACUUGGACUUGGAUACGAACAGACGUAUAUUGAUCAAGCAAUGAAGAAAGAUGACGAACACUCGACAAAAGCAGUUCCUAAGCUUUAUGGUAAGUUCGUCCCUCCUAAAAACACUUUGGCUAACAAAACUUGUCAUCUUUGUGGUGUUUUAGGACAUAUAAAGAAAUUUUGCAAACAAAAGGGUAAGAGCUCCACAACACCCUUGAAUCAAAGAACAUCUUUAAUGCCCAUGAAGAAUGAUCCUAAAUCAAAAGGGAAGUCAACUUGGACUCUAAAGAAGGAUGAUCAUAUGAAGAAACAAAUAUGGACACCAAAGAAGAAUAUUCCGAAAUCAAAGGCAAAACAAGCAUGAAAACCAAAGAAGGAGGAUCUGAAGAAGAAGUUAAUUCAAAUCGUCGACAAGCCACGAUCACCAAAAGCAAGUGAACCGACGCAACCCAAAACACGUAAGGUUUGGGUGCGCAAAGGUGAACUCUUCCUAUGCCUUGUCAUUCACACUUCGCUUCUUGCUUACGAUAAUACUUCUUGGUAUCUGGAUAGUGGUUGUUCCUGUCACAUGACCGGUGAUAAAAAUUGGUUUACUUCUUUAAAUAAAAUCUCCGGAGGACUUGUUGUUUUUGGAGACGGUCGAUCGUCAAAAAUCGUCGGAAAAGGAACAGUGACUAUCUCAGAUCGCCCUACUUUGAAUGAUGUUUUUUAUGUUGAGGGGCUAAAAUCUAAUCUCGUAAGCAUAAGUCAAUUGUGUGAUGAUGGGUAUUCUGUGACGUUUUCUGAUAAAGAAUGCUAUGUGACUCGAGAUGAUAAUCUUUUCUUAAAAGGAGUUAGAUCUCAGAAUAACAUAACACUGUUAUGUAGUUCCUAGUUCUUCAACUGAACAUUGUAACCUAGCGUCAUUAGAGACUGAAACUUUAUGGCAUGAACGACUAGGUCACAUGAACUUUAAGGAACUAUCCAAGAUAACUAAGAAGGAGGUUGUUAGAGAUGUACCUAAGAUAGACUUCAAAGAGAACACUGUGUGUGAGGGUUGUCAAUUGGGGAAACAAACUAGAUCCGCACAUAAGAAUGUGAACCACUUAGGGACAUCUAAACCGUUAGAAUUACUUCACAUGGACUUGAUGGGACCAUCUAGGAUUCAAAGUUUGGGUGGAAAACGUUAUAUCCUGCUUAUUGUUGAUGAUUUUACUCGAUUUGUAUAGAGUGCCUUCUUACAUGAAAAAGCUGAUACUUUUAAUUCUUUUUCUGAGAUUUGUCUUCGUCUUAUGAAUGAGCGUAAUGAUAAAAUUGUAUGUAUUCGAAGUGAUCAAGUGGAAGAAUUCAAAAUUCAAAAUUUGUUGAUUUUUGUGUUUCAGAUGGCAUAAAAUAUAAAUUCUCGGCUCUUUAUACACCUCAACAAAACGGAGUGGUAGAACGUAAAAAUCAGUUUGUACAAGAGAUGGCACGUGUUAUGCUUCAUAGUAAGAAAAUUGCUUUACAUUUUUGGGCCGAAGCGGUUAACACGGUAGUCUAUGUUAUCAAUCGGAUUUAUGUGUGUCCGGGUACUUUGAAUACUCCGUAUGAACUUUGGCUUGGUAGGAAACCUAAUAUUAAAUACUUUCUUGUCUUCGGGAGUAAAUGUUUUAUCCUUCGGGAUCGUGAAAAUCUUGAAAAAUUUGACUCCCGAAGUGACAAGGGGAUCUUUCUUGGUUAUUCUACUACAAGUCGUGCUUAUCGUGCGUACAAUUUUCGAUCUAAGACGGUGAUAGAAUCUAUCAAUAUAAAAGUAGAUGAAGCUUCUUCUGUAAGUUCUUUUAUAAAUGGUUCUUCUAAUUCUCUGGUGAAUGAUGAUGAUAAUGAUUCUCCAUUUGUAUUGCCUGUGAAUGAUGAUGUUUCUGCAUUUGAUUAUCCUAUUGCAUCUUCUGAAAAUGUUGCAUCAAAUGAUUUAUCUAAGCCUCAAAGCACCUCAUCUGAAAUCCCUAGCACAUCACCUGAGACUACAUCCCUGACAGAGUCAAGAGAUCAUCCUUUAUCGAAUGUUAUUGGGGAUCCUAAUGUUGGUGUACGAACUAGAAGUCAACUUCAAUGUGAAUUUGCAUGUUAUGUAUCUCUAAUUGAACCAAAGAAUAUUGACGAAGCUCUUCUUGAUGAAUAUUGGAUAAAUGCCAUGCAAGAAGAACUUGGUCAAUUCAUCCGCAAUGAUGUAUGGGAAUUAGUGCCACGCCCUGAGCAACAAAAUGUUAUUGGUACUAAAUGGAUUUUUAAAAAUAAGAAAAAUAAGGAUGGUACAAUUGUUCGAAAUAAAGCUAGACUUGUUGCUCAAGGUUACUCACAAAUUGAAGGGAUUGAUUUUGAUGAAACCUUCGCCCCAGUUGCUCGACUCGAAUCUAUUUGUAUUCUGUUCGCGAUAGCUUGUCAUUUUAAAAUUACUCUUUAUCAAAUGGAUAUCAAAAGUGCAUUUUUGAAUGAUUUUCUAAAAGAGGAAGUUUAUGUGGAACAACCAAAAGAUUUUAUAGAUUCUAAAUUUCUAAAUCAUUUUUUUCGUCUUAAAAAGGCACUUUAUGGACUCAAACAAGCACCGCGAGCAUGGUAUGAACGAUUAACCAAAUAUCUUUUAGAAAAGGGGUACAACCGAGGGGUAGCGGAUAGAACUCUUUUACUAAACACACUAAAAUGACUUUAUUGUGGCACAAAUUUAUGUGGAUGACAUUAUCUUUGGUGCAACUAAAGAUACUGUUGCGACUGAAUUUGCAAAGUUGAUGACUAGUGAGUUUGAGAUGUCUAUGAUGGGAGAGCUUUCAUACUUCCUUGCUCUUCAAGUUAAACAAUCAAAGGAAGGAAUUCAUUUGUCUCAAACCAAGUACGCAAAGGAAUUGGUUAAGAAAUUUGGUUUGGAUGGAGCAAAGGAUUUUGAUACACCGAUGGGAGCAAGUAAUAAAGGACUUGGAGUAAAUGUUGAAGGACAGAGUGUGGAGGAGAAAUAGUACAGAAGCAUGAUUGGGAGCCUAUUGUACUUGACUGCGAGUAGACCAGAUAUUGCUUUUAGUGUUGAACUUUGUGCUCGCUAUCAAGCUAAUCCUAAGGAAGUUCAUCUGAAAGCGGUUAAACGGAUCAUUCAGUACGUUAAUGGUACAACUGCAUAUGGCCUCUGGUAUCCUAUGGAACAUCUCUUGAUCUGAUUGGAUACUCAGAUGCUGACUGGGCUGGCUCUGCGGAUGAUCGGAAAAGCACUAGUGGAGCUUGUUUUUACCUUGGACAUUGUUUUGUUGCGUGGCAUAGUAAGAAACAGAACUGUAUUGCUCUUUCCACUGCCUAGGCUGAGUAUAUUUCUGCCGGCAGUUGCUCUACACAGUUACUGUGGAUGAAAAGCUUAUUGAGUAACUAUCGGAUCUCCUCCACCACUUUUACAAUUCUUUGUGACAACACGAGUGCUAUUAAUAUUUUCAAAAAUCCUGUUUUACACUCACGAACAAAGCAUAUUGAACUAAGAUAUCACUUUUUGAGAGAAUUGGUUGAAUCAAACGUUCUUCAACUUGAAUAUAUUUCAACUAAAAAUCAACUCGCAGAUAUUUUAACAAAACCUUUGGAUCAAAAACUUUUUCUACAUUUAAGAAAUGCUAUUGGUAUAAAUCCUUCAAACUAGACAUAUUCCAUUGGGCCAUAGAUCAUGUGCAUGUUGGAUUUUGUUUCUGUGCAUUUUUUCGUUUUUUCCUGAUUAUUCUUGAGAGACGAUUGAAUUUCAUGAAUGAUGUCGCUGUUUUUGUGAGAUAAAUUGGUUUCUGUUAGCUCUAUCUUAUGACUUUAAUUGUUUCAUAUUAAGUUUCUGAUUGAUCACUGUCAAUGUUAUUCUCUACUGUCAUAAUUUUUGAACGAUCAAAUCAUUGAAAUCCUGUUCAGUAUACUGAAUUAAAUUCAACACCUCAUGAUUAGAACUUUGAAUGUUGCAAUUGUUUGUUUGAUUAUUAGUUGUGAGAUGAAUAACUCUUUGUCUAUUUUUGAAAUUGCAAUAAUAUUUUUGACUUGAGGGUUGCACUAAUUUAGGGCGAGUCUUUCCGACUAUGGUUAUGAAAGUAUCUUAAAUUCAAAAAAAUGUGGAAAGAGUUACAUCCCUGUUGGGAGUGUAAAAACUACCACCACAUGGAGGAAAGAGCUACCACCCCGGUCGUCCGGUCAGUGUGUGCAGCUACCACAUGAUGAUCAAUAUAUCUCUAUGUGCUAAAAGCCAAUAAAGAAUAAAUAAAUAUGAGAUGUUAUGGAAAUGGUAAAAUUCUAAUACUAUAUUUAAGACAUCUCUUAGGGGAUAUAAGGUGGUUUGUUAAAAGAUGCUCAAAGAGCCACUCCUAUCUCGAUUUAUGUGCAUAACUCAAAUUGAAAAUAUUCUUUUAAUUUCAUGAUUAUGAGAUUUAUUUAUUCAAUUUCUUAACAAAUAUGAUGAUAAAACGAUACAAUUAAUCCCUAGAUCUUGCAUGAUGUGUGGAAUUUUAUUUGAUACUUAUCAAGAAUUUUAUUUGAUUUUCGGAUCAACAGUGUUUGACAAAUUGAAUAUCUUUGAGAUUGAUUUUUCAAAAUUUAUUUAUGAAAUUUUAUUGGAAGUCUUUGGGGAUAGAUAUUAUGUAUUCUUGAUGUUGGACAUGUUGAGGAUAUUAUAUAAAAUUUUUGAAAAUUAUGAACGAAGAUUUCAUUUUUUUUGGUUUUGGCUCUGGGACCGGUCCCCGAUUUGGAGAGACCGAUCUCUCCGCCCGAACCGGAUUUAAGGGUUUGCGGUCUGUUAUUUUUUCACUUUACCAAUUUCGUUCAAACUCCUCUUCUGAGCUUCUAAUAUCCCCAGGGCAUUUUUGGUUGCUUUCUUCAUCAUUUUACACUUGAUUUAGGUAUGAUUCUCGGAUUUUGUUUCUUUGUUGCAUUAUAAUCCGAAUUUUUGCUUUAUUUUUAAUUUUUAGGGCUUGUUCUCAUUAUGAUUGUUGAAUCUCUUCGUUUAUGCCCUGAUCUUCCCUCAAAGAAUGUUAGUUAGGAUUUUCACACAUUGUUUCAUACCUUGAUACAAUUGUUUGGUUGAUUUUGCAAAGUUUUCAUCAUCAAACCCUAAUUUUUCAAUUUUUUUGAAAAAAAAGUGAUUUUACAGAUUUUGAUGCAUAAUGUAAUCAUUGUUUUCAUGCUUAUGUGGCCCUAGGAUUAUCUAGCAUAUUACAUAUCAACUUGCUAAAGUUUUUAAAAAAUAAAAAUAAAAAUAAAAAUAAAAAUAAACCAACAGUUCUUAUGUUCAAUAUGUGUAAAUUGUCGUAUUUACAGGGUCUUCUUCAAAAAAGUACUCGUGGCUGCUUGUUUUUGUGGUGCUUAUGGCUGGUGGUGGCCGUGGGAGUAAGCGUCAGCGUGCUUCGACCAAGCGUCCUGUUGAGCAACAUUGAGAAGAUGAGGGGAGCGAGUAUACUCCAGGUGAAGAAUCUGAAUCUGAUGAGCCCGAUUGGGAGGUACUUACUCCUGAAGUGCUUUCGAAGAAGAAGGGUAAAGCUCCCGCAGAAAAAGAACGAGAGAAGGGAAAAGGAAAAGGAAAAGGAAAAGGUACUGAAAAGGGAAAGGGCAAAGCCACUGCUCAAGGGACAGAUACGGGAGGUCGAAGAAAGUCAGGUGGAUUUGAGAUUAGAGAGCCUGUUUUUGAGCCUCCGCGAUAUUCUGUUCAGGAUGUUGAUUCCCGCCGACGAUCCAUGUACUCCUCAAAGCACUGCAUUGGUGAACGUGAUGUAAGCGUCGCAGAUAUUAUUGAGCGUGUGCCGGAAUUUCAAGCUCUAUUUGAAAAUGGUAAUUUGCAUGAAAUUUGUAGCUUUUCGGAGCAAUCAGGUUUCUGCUUGGAGCUUAUUAGGGAAUUUUAUAUGCGAGCGGGACAUCUGAUUGACUCUUAUAGCGGCCCAUACAGGUUCACUACUUCGGCACGAGGCGUCGAGUUGUCUAUUACGCCUGAUACGAUAGCUUCUGUGCUGGAAAUAGAAGCUCGUACCGAUGGAAUUGAGUACUUACAGGCCGGAUUUGAUUCGUUUCGGGAUUGGGCGCGUAUUGUGAAUGCAAUCUGCAUGCCGGGAACUGAAUCUAAUGGAAUUAUGGUUUUAUCUAAAGAUUUUAAGAUGGAGUAUCGUUUUCUGAACUUCGUGGUUUGUUAUAACAUUUUGCCCUUGGCAAACACGAAGAUUCUGCGUUGGGAUCGUCUUCUUUAUAUGUACUUGUUGGGUCACCCGGACAUUGUACAAGCAAAGAACAUAAACAUGAACAUUCCGUUUUUAAUUUGGGGGCGGAUGGCCAAGGACAUCAAGACAUCAGGGCAGAAUGACAGGUUGCCAUUUCCAUUGAUUAUUAUGCGGAUUCUGCGAAUGUAUGAGGUGGAUACUCGUUGUGCGUCAUACGAGCAUAGUCUUGGGAGGAUAAGUGACACGACGUUUGUGAAGUCCUCUGUGCAGCUUCGAACUCCGUCUAAACGAACUUCUUCACCUACUGCUGCUCCACCUCCUGCUGCUCCUAGUUCUUCCCGUCCUUCUAUGGAUAUUUCUGAGGAGGAUAUCUCGGUUUCAUCCGUGUAUCGUGAGCAACAUAGAUUAUCUGAAGAGCUUCAAAAACUUUCAGCGGAUCAGGCUCAGAUAAGGAAGGAUAUGAGCAAGAUUAGAUGAUUAAUGAAAGUGAUCUUCGAUAAAUUAGGUUGUUGUAGCUCCGAUCUUCCUCCGCAGGGUGAUGACUCCGACUGAGUGGUGCGGGGUUCCUCCUUUUAUCGUUUUGUCGGUUUCUUGACAAAAAGGGGGAGAUGAUGAUGAUGUUUUUUAGUUAAUUUUAGUUGUUAGAUGCAUGAUUUUAGAUGUUAGAUGCAUGUGUAGGUGCAUGAUGCUGUGCUGAUGGUGAUGUUUUUAGAUGAGAUGCUGAUAAUGAUGUAUUAAGAUAUGACUGUUUAUGUUUGAUCGUUAAUGAAAUUUCUUGGAUCUUGAUUGUGUUUUGAAAAUGUUUAUUGCAGGAACUUUCAAGACUUCAAGACUUCAUGUCUAAGUCAUAGAGUUUGUAGUAAGAUUGUGAAAAAAUAUAAUUUUUUCUUUUAUUGAAUCGAUCAUGCAGGAGAUUGUCGUUUGGUGAUUGCGAUGAUCUUCUUUUUAUUGUUUCUGAGUUGUGUACGAGUGUUGUAAUAUGUUUUGUCACGAAAUCGCCAAAGGGGGAGAUUGUUAAGGAUUUUCUAGGUUGGCGGAUUUCGUAAAGUCAAAUGGAGUCUUGAAGAGUUGAUCGCGGUAGUUUGAAGAGAAGAUUCAACUUGAAGAGCAAAAACUCAUUUGGAAAGCUCGGCACCUCAGGUAUAAAGAAUAGAUCAUUUUUGGUGAUUUUAUCUAACUACAAUAAGUUUAGAAGACUUGGAUUGCAAUAGAAAACACAAACUGAGGUUUUUAAUGUGCUGGGACCGGUCCCCUGAGAUGAGAGACCGGUUCCCGAGAGUUCUCUCUGCGUGGAUGUCUAAUACAACCGGUCUCCUGAUCUGAGGGACCGGUCUCCUGGUCGGUGCAACCGAUCUCUGUCAUGAGAGACCGUUUCCCUAACGUUGGGAUUUUUGACUCGCAGAGAGAGACCGGUCUCUGGCAUGAGAGACCGGUUCCCGAACGUUGUGUUUUCUGUCACGCAGCGAGGGACCGGUCUCCCAUUCAAGGCACCGGUCUCUGACAGACCUGUCUCCUCGAGAGGAUCGGUCCUUGAGGACGACACCAGUUUUUAAAAUAGACUUUUUGCAAUCCUAGUCUACUUCUAAGUCUUCUAAACCUAUAAAUAAGCCAUGGGGGUUAUCAUAUGGGUUGAGGCUUUGAAUUUCUACUGUUCAAAAACCCUAGAAACUUGUUUUCACGUUCCAAUGAUUCUAUUUAUAUAACAAGUUUCAUAUAAUCAUUGAUCGACUUGAUUCUUCGAUUUUAACUCAAGAUAUUCUUUGAGAAUCAAGUAGAUGUUUGAGGAGGGACUGUUGGAGCUCGGAUUCGUCGCCGCCGUAGUGCCGCGGAGUCGUUCGAGCACACGUUUGUCGUCGUGGUGCUGUGAGGAGCUCGGGCGGGCCUGGAUUGGACGACGUGGCGUCGACUCUUGAAGGUUUUCAAGGUGAGUGUUCGGUUGGAAUCACCUCAAUUACUUUAGCAUCAUCAAAUUUGAGCUUAAGUGCUAUUUUGCUUUUUUUCGCCGUCGAUCGUUGGUGUUUCAGCUCGUACUCGGCGUAGGAGCGUCGGUUUUCGACGAGACUUGGUUUGUUGGAUUCAAGACUUCGAGAGGAAUCAACAAAGCCCUUACUUACUAGAUUUGGUGAAGGUUAGCUUGGUCAAAUCCCUUUUCUACUCUGUUACUGCGAGAUUCGGACUGAAUUGGUGGAUUUUGAUCAUAGAGCUUGGAGUUAGCUCGAGUACUAGACUUGGAGGAUUCCAGUUGAUCCAGCAGGGCUCACUUUGGUUCGAGGCUUCGUUCGCUGCUAGGAGCUAGCUUCUUGAGGUGGGUUUACAUCGGUUUUACUCCUAAGUUCAUAAUCGUCGACAUGUAUAGAUUUCGAUUUUGGAUAAUCUAUUCUAGCUCGAAUUCAUGGAUUAUUUUGUAGAUUGCAAAUUUGAAUUUGGAACAUGUGGUAAUAAAUUGAGUAGUUAAUACAUGUUGGACUUGGACUUGACUUAGGAGAAAACGCGAUAAUGAUCGGCAUAUGCUUAAACUGCCUGAUUUAGCUCUAGGAGCCGUUAUUAAAUUGUACUGUCGCAGUAUCUUCGAGACGAGUACUCCAGGUAGUUUAGAUUAUAUUUACGCUCGUGCUGGUACGCCGAGUGAAUUUUUACAGGGUCAUUUGGACUAUUUCGGACUUUUGGGCGCCGUUGGGGUGGACGGUGGGCCCGGUUCGCCGUUUUGGCGUCAGAUUGUGCCGAGGGCACGUUACUUGUUGGUUGUUAGACUAGUUAGAGUCGGUUACUUGGACUUUGGCUUGACAGAGCCUGAUUGAGCUCGACAGAAAUACGCUGCAUACUCGGUUGGGUAGCGCCCACGAGUGCCACUCCGGAGACGGGCUUUGUGCUUUUGCGUUGGUGUCGCUCAUGCCGGUUGGACUUGCUUUCCACGGACCAGUUAGUGUGGAGGUAGCUAGAUAGUCGCAACUGGGCAGGGACGGGUGUAUUCACAGUCCCAGGGACGGGUAUGUUUACAGUCCCGAUUGGAUUGGGUCAGAUUUGAUAUUUCCUACAGUUGGUUAGUGUAGAGCAUGAUAGUGUAGUGAUUUGUAGCGGUUGAGUUUAUUUCCUGCAUUUUCCUACUAUCUUGGCUCCCCUCUGUAGACUUAGUGGGUGGACCGAUGUUGUUUUGGGCGGCACCCACUGAGGACUACUUGUUUUUACAGUAGUUCUCACGCCCAGUUGUUACCCCUGUUUUGCAGAGCCAUAGGUUUCGGCUGCUGCACCUUCCGAGGCAGAUCGAGGUAAGGGCGUCGCGAGUUAGAGCCCUACCCGACGUGCUGAGUUAGAGGUGCCCCUACUGCAGGUAGAUGUUUUGUUUCGAGUUUAUGUACAUAGUAGACUUAACUCGCUAGUGCGAGUAACUUUAUAUUUUGGAUUGGGACUAGGUAUAUGAAACUCAGUUUGUUUAGCUUCUGUUUUCUCUAGCAGCUCUCUACUACUGUUCGUAGUAGUGUUUGAUUUACAGGUAUAGUUGUCGCUUCGUAUACAGAAAAAAUUUCUUUGUAUACGGCGGAUUUGUCGGCGUGCCCAGGGAACGAGACAUCCGGGGCGUGACAGAUUAAGUUGGUAUCAGAAGGUGAACCCUCAUUGCUUAUGGGAUUGAUUCUAAGUCUUAAUCACCACAAAUCAUCAAUUCUACAAACUCCGGAAGGAGAUUCGGCGUGUGGAUCUCGCGUGUAGCCGAGGACUCGGUGGACGCUUCGAGGAGUUGAGGCGUUGACGCAGCAAGGAGUUGCAGCGGGGUCGAUUGGAGCAUUCCUAUCGAUCGAGGACUGGCGAAGAACAUCAACAAUGGGAAUUCGGUAAAUUGAGUCUUAUAUUUUGGUUAAAUCACUUGUACUCAAGUUUUCUUUAGUGGAUUUUCUUCGCGUGAUCUGUCCCAUGGGUUUUUCACUCCGGAUUGGAGUUUUCCCACGUUAAAAUCUCGGGGUGUUGUUUUUAUUUUCCGCUAUUCAUUUUAUUUGCAUCGAGAGGUUUUGUUUUUGCCGUUUUACACCUAUUCACCCC
rnacentral:lncRNA from 1 species